rnacentral:rRNA from 1 species
AGACACGGCCCAGACUCUUAGGGGAGGCAGCAGUGGGGAAUUCUCCCCAAGGGGGGAGACCCUGACGGAGCAAUACAGAGUGAGGGAGGAAGGCUUUUGGGUUGUAACCCUCUUUUAUUAAGGAAGAAGCAAGUGACGGUACUUAAUGAAUCAGCAUCGGCUAACUCCGUGCCAGCAGCCGCGGUAAUACGGAGGAUGCAAGCGUUAUCCGGAAUCAUUGGGCGUAAAGCGUCCGCAGGUGGUCAAUCGUGUCUGCCGUUAAAGACAGAAGCUCAACUUCUGAGAGGCGGUGGAAACUGGAGAACUAGAGUACGGUAGGGGUUGAGGGAAUUCCCAGUGUAGCGGUGAAAUGCGUAGAUAUUGGGAA